UCCGAAUGGGGAAACCCGGCCCUUUUGGGUCAUCCUGGACUGAAUACAUAGGUCCAGAGAAGCGAACGCGGUGAACUGAAACAUCUAAGUAACCGCAGGAAAAGAAAUCAACCGAGAUUCCCAAAGUAGUGGCGAGCGAAAUGGGAUGAGCCUUGCACUCUUUAUUUGUAUUGUUAGCCGAACGCUCUGGAAAGUGCGGCCAUAGCAGGUGAUAGCCCUGUAGGCGAAAACAGUAUGAAAGAACUAGGUGUGCGACAAGUAGGGCGGGACACGUGAAAUCCUGUCUGAAGAUGGGGGGACCAUCCUCCAAGGCUAAAUACUCGUGAUCGACCGAUAGUGAACCAGUACCGUGAGGGAAAGGCGAAAAGAACCCCGGGAGGGGAGUGAAAUAGAUCCUGAAACCGCAUGCAUACAAACAGUCGGAGCCUCGUAAGGGGUGACGGCGUACCUUUUGUAUAAUGGGUCAGCGACUUACGUUCAGUAGCAAGCUUAACCGUAUAGGGCAGGCGUAGCGAAAGCGAGUCCGAAUAGGGCGUUCAGUUGCUGGGCGUAGACCCGAAACCAGGUGAUCUAUCCAUGGCCAGGAUGAAGGUGCGGUAACACGUACUGGAGGUCCGAACCCACUAACGUUGAAAAGUUAGGGGAUGAGCUGUGGAUAGGGGUGAAAGGCUAAACAAACCUGGAAAUAGCUGGUUCUCUCCGAAAACUAUUUAGGUAGUGCCUCGUGUCUCACCUUCGGGGGUAGAGCACUGUCAUGGUUGGGGGGUCUAUUGCAGAUUACCCCGCCAUAGCAAACUCCGAAUACCGAAGAGUGCAAUCACGGGAGACAGACAUCGGGUGCUAACGUCCGGUGUCAAGAGGGAAACAACCCAGACCGCCAGCUAAGGUCCCCAAAUAUAGCUAAGUGGGAAACGAAGUGGGAAGGCUAAAACAGUCAGGAGGUUGGCUUAGAAGCAGCCACCCUUUAAAGAAAGCGUAAUAGCUCACUGAUCGAGUCGUCCUGCGCGGAAGAUGUAACGGGGCUAAGCUAUAUACCGAAGCUGCGGAUGCGAGCUUUGCUCGCAUGGUAGGAGAGCGUUCCGUAAGCCUGCGAAGGUGCCUUGUAAAGGGUGCUGGAGGUAUCGGAAGUGCGAAUGCUGACAUGAGUAGCGAUAAAGGGGGUGAAAGGCCCCCUCGCCGUAAGCCCAAGGUUUCCUACGCAACGUUCAUCGGCGUAGGGUGAGUCGGCCCCUAAGGCGAGGCAGAAAUGCGUAGCUGAUGGGAAGCAGGUCAAUAUUCCUGCACCAUUGUUAGAUGCGAUGGGGGGACGGAUCGCGGAAGGUUGUCCGGGUGUUGGAAGUCCCGGUCGCUGCAUUGGAGAAGGCACUUAGGCAAAUCCGGGUGCG
rnacentral:rRNA from 1 species